GGGUUCUUGCAUCACCUCCCGCCACGGGUGAGCGUAUGGACGAAUUGCGCUCACUCAUGGGGUAGUCGCACGAUUCACCCCGUUUCGGAGGU
rnacentral:ncRNA from 1 species